GGCGGCAUGCCUAACACAUGCAAGUCGAACGGCAGCACAGUAUGUAGCAAUACAUAUGGGUGGCGAGUGGCGGACGGGUGCGUAAUAUGUAGGGAUCUGCCCCAAAGCGGGGGACAACCCGGGGAAACCCGGGCUAAUACCGCAUAAUACUCUACGGAGGAAAUCUGGCACGUAAGUGCUGGGGCUUUGGGAUGAACCUACAUCCGAUUAGCUAGUUGGUGAGGUAACGGCUCACCAAGGCAAUGAUCGGUAGCUGGUCUGAGAGGAUGACCAGCCACACUGGGACUGAGACACGGCCCAGACUCCUACGGGAGGCAGCAGUGGGGAAUAUUGGACAAUGGGGGAAACCCUGAUCCAGCAAUGCCGCGUGGGUGAAGGAGGCCUUCGGGUUGUAAAGCCCUUUAGGCGGGGAAGAAGGUUAUAGGGUGAUAAGCCUUAUAGCUUGACGGUACCCGCAGAAUAAGCACCGGCUAACUCUGUGCCAGCAGCCGCGGUAAUACAG
rnacentral:rRNA from 1 species